AAAGUGUGGGUAUCAAACAGGAUUAGAUACCCUGGUAGUCCACACAGUAAACGAUGAAUACUCGCUGUUUGCGAUAUACAGUAAGCGGCCAAGCGAAAGCGUUAAGUAUUCCACCUGGGGAGUACGCCGGCAACGGUGAAACUCAAAGGAAUUGACGGGGGCCCGCACAAGCGGAGGAACAUGUGGUUUAAUUCGAUGAUACGCGAGGAACCUUACCCGGGCUUAAAUUGCAGUGGAAUGAUGUGGAAACAUGUCAGUGAGCAAUCACCGCUGUGAAGGUGCUGCAUGGUUGUCGUCAGCUCGUGCCGUGAGGUGUCGGCUUAAGUGCCAUAACGAGCGCAACCCUUAUCUUCAGUUACUAACAGGUCAUGCUGAGGACUCUGGAGAGACUGCCGUCGUAAGAUGUGAGGAAGGUGGGGAUGACGUCAAAUCAGCACGGCCCUUACGUCCGGGGCUACACACGUGUUACAAUGGGGGGUACAGAAGGCAGCUAGCGGGUGACCGUAUGCUAAUCCCAAAAUCCUCUCUCAGUUCGGAUCGAAGUCUGCAACCCGACUUCGUGAAGCUGGAUUCGCUAGUAAUCGCGCAUCAGCCACGGCGCGGUGAAUACGUUCCCGGGCCUUGUACACACCGCCCGUCAAGCCAUGGGAGCCGGGGGUACCUGAAGUACGUAACCGCAAGGAUCGUCCUAGGGUAAAACUGGUGACUGGGGCUAAGUCGUAACAAGGUAACC
rnacentral:rRNA from 1 species